CAGGGGGAUAAGCGGAAGAAAUUCCGUCUAAUACGGCAUAAUACAAUUUGGAGACAUCUCCGGGUUGUCAAAGGAGUGAUCCGGCAGAGGAUGGACAUGCGGCGCAUUAGCUAGUCGGCGGGGUAACGGCCCACCGAGGCUACGAUGCGUAGGGGUUCUGAGAGGAAGGUCCCCCACACUGGUACUGAGACACGGACCAGACUCCUACGGGAGGCAGCAGUGAGGAAUAUUGGUCAAUGGGCGGAAGCCUGAACCAGCCAAGUCGCGUGAGGGAAGACGGUCCUAUGGAUUGUAAACCUCUUUUGCAGGGGAGCAAGGCGCGGUACGUGUACCGCGAAGGAGAGUACCCUGAGAAAAAGCAUCGGCUAACUCCGUGCCAGCAGCCGCGGUAAUACGGAGGAUGCGAGCGUUAUCCGGAUUUAUUGGGUUUAAAGGGUGCGCAGGCGGACUGUUAAGUCAGCGGUAAAAUGUCGGUGCUCAACACCGGCCGGCCGUUGAAACUGGCAGCCUUGAGUGAGCGAGAAGUAUGCGGAAUGCGUGGUGUAGCGGUGAAAUGCAUAGAUAUCACGCAGAACUCCGAUUGCGAAGGCAGCAUACCGGCGCUCAACUGACGCUCAGGCACGAAAGCGUGGGUAUCGAACAGGCUUAGAUACCCUGGUAGUCCACGCAGUAAACGAUGAAUAAUCGCUGUCCGGGCCGUUUAAGGCCUGGGUGGUCAAG
rnacentral:rRNA from 1 species